rnacentral:rRNA from 1 species
GACGAACCGUGGCGAACGUUAUUCGGAAUCACUGGGCUUAAAGGGCGCGUAGGCGGGUCGGUAAGUCAGGGUGAAAUCCCACGGCCCAACCGUGGAAGUCGCCUCUGAUACUGCCGGCCUCGAGGGGAUGAGGGGCGUGCGGAACUCAGGGGUGGAGCGGUGAAUGCGUAGAUAAUCCUGAGGAACACCGGUGGCGAAAGCGGCGCGCUG